rnacentral:rRNA from 1 species
CACGUAGGGGACGAGCGUUGUCCGGAUUCAUUGGGCGUAAAGCGCGCGUAGGCGGCUCGGAAAGUCGGGCGUGAAAUGCCGGGGCUCAACCCCGGGACUGCGUCCGAUACUUCCGAGCUGGAGGUAGGUAGGGGGAGAUCGGAAUUCCUGGUGUAGCGGUGAAAAUGCGCAGAUAUCAGGAGGAACACCGGUGGCGAAAGGCGGGAUCUCUGGGCCUUACCUGACGCUGAGGCGCGAAAAGCUAGGGGGAGCAACGG